ACAAUGGAGGCAACUCUGAUCCAGCCAUGCCGCGUGAAGGAAUACGGCCCUAUGGGUUGUAAACUUCUUUUAGACGGGACAAAACCCCUUUACGUGUAAAGGGUUGAUGGUACUGUCAGAAUAAGCAUCGGCUAACUUCGUGCCAGCAGCCGCGGUAAUACGAAGGAUGCAAGCGUGAUCCGGAAUUAUUGGGUUUAAAGGGUGCGUAGGCGGACUAAUAAGUCAGUGGUGAAAGCCUGCAGCUUAACUGCAGAAUUGCCAUUGAUACUGUUAGUCUUGAGUACAGUUGAGGUAGGCGGAAUGUGUCAUGUAGCGGUUAAAUGCUUAGAGAUGACAAAGAACACCGAUUGCGAAGGCAGCUUGCUAAGCUGUAACUGACGCUGAGGCACGAGAGCGUGGGGAGCAAACA
rnacentral:rRNA from 1 species